rnacentral:lncRNA from 1 species
CUCCACAUGCUGUGCAAAGCAUGAACAUACCAAAAGACACGGACAUACAUCAGCAUUACAUCAAACAUCCUGUUUAGAAGUUUGUCCGUGACAAUAGAGUAGUGAUGAUGAUAGUUUCAAAGAGUAACCUAGGAUCUCCCCUCGUUUGCACACCCUCAUUAAUCCAAUCACCCUCAUGCCAUACCGGAAAAGAACUAAA